AGGAAACCAGUAGUAAGAUUUCCAUUUUAAAAAUGUUCGAAAUUAAGCAAAACUAACUGUGUUGCUUAGGGAUGAGUACAUACAUGGUAAAAUCAUAAUGAGGAGAAGCGUGCUUACCAUAAAAGUCAGGAUGGCGGCAUUCUCUGGGAGAAGGGCGGGGGAGCUGUGAGCAGGAAGGGACGGGAGGUGUGGUUGACAGCAGCUGAGAGUGAUAAGCAAACAUGUGUGUUUGCUUUUUGACUAUUUAUUAACCUAUAAAAGUUUGCUUAGUGUAAUUUCCUGAAUGUGUGUCAUAUUUCAAAAUAAACAAUGCUGACUUGGCUAAUUGGUUUGGCAAUGAGAACUAGCUUUGCCAUCUAGGAUAUUGGGUGGACAUUUUCCAAGGUUUGGAUGAAAAUAUGUUUAAAGCUUGCACUCAGACAAGAGCAUUUCAUCAAAAAUAUUAUGCUGAUAAAGGAGUAAGCUGCCCAUGGGGAUCACAGAGCUACGUCUGCUCCUCCGCCCUGGAGUCUUCCCUACAUGAGUGAGAACUCGUGAAUCCUGCAGCCACGUCAGCCCAAACCUCAGGAUGAAGCCAGCGUCAGGAGGAGAGAGCUGAGAGAAGCGUGGAGAAACCACGGUACCAACGCCUGCCUAGUCCUGGACUUUUCAUUCACAGGAACUAAUAUGUCUCCCGUAUUAUUUAAGCCAGUGCUAUGGUUGGAAUGUUUGUCCCCUUGAAAACUUGCGUUGAAAUUUGAUUGGCAUUGCAACAGUAUUAAGAAGAGGUGGGACCUUUAAGAGGUGAUUAGGCCGUGAGGGCUCUGCUUUCCUGGGUGAGAUUAAUGCCAUUAUAAAAGGGCAAGCUCAGCCCCCAUUUGUUUUUCUCUCGCCCUCCCUUUGCCCUUCCACCUUCCGCCAUGGGAUGACGCAGCAAGAAGGGCCUUGUCACAUGCAGGUGCCUCGAUAUUGAACUUCCCAGCUUCUAGA